rnacentral:rRNA from 1 species
GACGGACGCUGGCGGCGUGCUUAACACAUGCAAGUCGAACGGAAAGGCCCCAGCUUGCUGGGGUACUCGAGUGGCGAACGGGUGAGUAACACGUGGGUGAUCUGCCCUGCACUCUGGGAUAAGCCUGGGAAACUGGGUCUAAUACCGGAUAGGACCGUGCUUUAGUGUGUGCGGUGGAAAGUUUUUCGGUGCAGGAUGAGCCCGCGGCCUAUCAGCUUGUUGGUGGGGUAAUGGCAUACCAAGGCGGCGACGGGUAGCCGGCCUGAGAGGGUGUACGGCCACAUUGGGACUGAGACACGGCCCAGACUCCUACGGGAGGCAGCAGUGGGGAAUAUUGCACAAUGGGCGCAAGCCUGAUGCAGCGACGCCGCGUGGGGGAUGACGGCCUUCGGGUUGUAAACCCCUUUCGGCAGGGACGAAGCUUUUGUGACGGUACCUGCAUAAGAAGCACCGGCUAACUACGUG